rnacentral:rRNA from 1 species
AGUGAACGCUGGCGGCGUGCCUAAUACAUGCAAGUCGAACGGAGUGGCGCACGGGUGAGUAAUAUAUAGCUAAUCUGCCCCUUGCUGGAGGACAACAGUUAGAAAUGACUGCUAAUACUCCAUAGGAAGGGAUGAGACUAUAUCGUAUCAGCUAGUCGGUGGGGUAACGGCCUACCGAGGCUAUGACGCGUAACUGGGCUGAGCGGAUGAGCAGUCACAUCGGAAGUGAGACACGGUCCAAACGCCUACGGGAGGGAGCGGUAGGGGAUAUUGCGCAAUGGGGGACAACCUGAAGCAGCAACGGGGCGUGGAGGAUGAUACUUUUCGGAGCGGAAGCUCCUUUUGUUAGGGAAGCGGUACCUAACGAAUAAGCACCGGCUAACUCCGUGCCAGCAGCCGCGGUAAUUC